CUCUCCCUGACAGCUGGAACAAGGCCAGUUCUGAGCCUCCCAGGAACGCAGGCAGACAGACUUCACGCUAUGCAGUUGCGCAACACUCAAGCCAUGGCUCCAGCCCAGGGCCCGGACGGUCACAGCUGCUGCCUUCUAUAAGUGUUUUGUCUGCAUGCAUGUGUGUGCACUGUGUGCAUGCCUGGUCCCUACAGAGGCCGGAAGAGGGCAUUAUAUUCCUGGAACUGAAGUUAUAGAUGGUUGGAAGCUACCAGGCCCUGAGACGCAAGGAUGAAACAUGCAUGGCUCCUGCUCUCAGCUUGCGUACAAGUAAGAGAAUAUUCUACCCCCACCACGCAUCAAGGCACAGGAAGCCACUGUGAUUUCUUCUUUCUGGUUUGGAGCUGACCUGUUGCAUUUUGAAUCACCAGUCACUUGGCAGGAGAGAAGAUAGACUUUGGGCCAGUGGUAAAACUGGAGAGGCAAAUACAGGGUUUCUGCAUUUAUGUACAGAAGUAGGAAUCUAAUCUUUAAUUUCCUCAUUUUUAAGUUCUUUUGACAUUGAAAGUUGAUUGUGUUAGUGUUUGUAACUUAAAUAAGAUCUGUAGUUCAAUCUGUACAUGAAAGAGAGAGCAGAAUCACGUGAGUUCAUUCUGAGGACUGUCGGUAGGUCAGUGUAACUGCUGCUUAGACAUUUAGAGGGCAUCUAUCGCUCAGACACUUCUCAUAGCAUGGCCUCCGUGCACUGGGGAUCCCGUCAGCUUCUGCGAUAACACCUUCUAAUUUCAGGGGCUUAAACUAGAACUAGUUCAGAACCAGUGCAGUGAAGAAGAAGUCAGCUGGCUUCAGGCGUACCUAUGGCUCUGGUCAACAGCAGGCCUUUACGUUUGUGGUCUAGACAAGUGUCUGUCCUAAACUAACCAUUGCUAGGCCAACAGCCUUGUACAUUUUGUCAGAAGCCCUUAGGAGACAGACUCUUCCUUUAACCCAGCAAAAUUUCUACCUCUAAUUUCAGAGUAGGAUCCUCUGUGAGUCACAGAUGGAGGACCAUUUGGUCAGCGUCCUCACUGUGGUAAAUAUUCAUGAGUCAAAACAUAAUUACUAGGCCACGGUUCGGUAACCUCUUUUCCAGGUGAGAAACCUCCACUCUGGUUUUUCCUCUCAAGUCCUAGUUUAUAGCACUUUGUGUGGCCGAGUCUCCCCCAUUUCCAUUGUGUUGUCAGGUUUCAGAGCCUGGAGCAUACAUCAAUUGUCAGGCUCCUUAAAAUUUUUCUUAAAGUCACAAGAACACAAACUGCCAAUGCCAGAAAGCGGAGGGGUCCUGGGUUUAAACAGUUUCUAAAAUGCAAGUCAAGUUGGGUGGUAGAAUGGAGGGGCAGAUGACAGUGCUGAGGUGGAACUCACAAGUAUAGAAAGAGGUUGGAAUCUGGGAGGAAAAGUAGUAACUUUAAUUAUAAACAGGAGGAAAGAACUGAUGUGAGCUGCAAAUGAGAGGAAUAUUUCGUUUUCUUCAGGGGGAUACCCAUUGAUAGGUUAGCCAAUCCCAGUGGCCAUCCCUAACAGAUAUACAUAGGAGCAACACCAAAGCAGCCAAGCAGGCUGUAUUCCUAAAGCAUCCACCUCUAGAUAAGUAAAAGUAAUUAAAAAGAGUAAUGAAUUUUAGGUGAUUGCAGGGACACUGGAGAAGUUGGAGCAGGGAGAAGGAGGGGUAGAAAUGAUAUAACUAUAGUACACAGGUAUAACAUUUGGAAAUUGUCAUCUCCUAGAAGCCUGUUCUUUACUAAAGAGACAGAAAAGAAGUGGAACUGGGAAGGGGAAGGGAAGAAAGACAGGGACUGGGAAGAGUAGA